AACGAACGCUGGCGGCAGGCCUAACACAUGCAAGUCGAGCGAGAAAGCCUUCGGGUGAGUAGAGCGGCGCACGGGUGAGGAACACGUGGGAACGUACCCUGUAGUACGGAAUAGCCUCGGGAAACUGGGAUUAAUACCGUAUACGCCCUUCGGGGGAAAGAUUUAUCGCUAUAGGAUCGGCCCGCGCAACAUUAGCUUGUUGGUGAGGUAAAAGCUUACCAAGGCUACGAUGUUUAGCUGGUCUGAGAGGAUGAUCAGCCACACUGGAACUGAGACACGGUCCAGACUCCUACGGGAGGCAGCAGUGAGGAAUAUUGGACAAUGGGCGAAAGCCUGAUCCAGCCAUGCCGCGUGAGUGAUGAAGGCCUUAGGGUUGUAAAGCUCUUUCAUUGGUGAAGAUAAUGACGGUAACCAAAGAAGAAGCUCCGGCUAACUUCG
rnacentral:rRNA from 1 species